rnacentral:rRNA from 1 species
CUGCAACUCGCCUGCAUGAAGUCGGAAUUGCUAGUAAUCGCAGAUCAGCAUGCUGCGGUGAAUACGUUCCCGGGCCUUGUACACACCGCCCGUCACACCAUGGGAGUCGGUAACACCCAAAGUUGGUAGCCUAACCGCAAGGAGGGCGCCGCCUAAGGUGGGAUUGAUGACUGGGGUGAAGUCGUAACAAGGUACC